CGCGUAGGUGGUAGUGCAAGUCUGGGGUGGAAUCCUAUGGCUUAACCAUAGAAUUGCCUUGGAAACUGUAUUACUUGAGUCAGUGAGGGGAGGGUAGAAUUCCUGGUGUAGCGGUGAAAUGCGUAGAUAUCAGGAGGAAGGCCUGUGGCGAAGGCGGCCCUCUGGCGCUGAACUGACACUGAGGCGCGAAAGCGUGGGGAGCAAACAGGAUUAGAUACCCUGGUAGUCCACGCCCUAAACGGUGGGCACUAGGUGUAGGGCUCGUAAGGGUUCUGUGCCGAAGCGAAAGCAUUAAGUGCCCCGCCUGGGGAUACGGCCGCAAGGUUGAA
rnacentral:rRNA from 1 species